rnacentral:rRNA from 1 species
AUUGAACGCUGGCGGCAUGCCUUACACAUGCAAGUCGAACGGCAGCACGGGAGCAAUCCUGGUGACGAGUGGCGAACGGGUGAGUAAUACAUCGGAACGUGCCCAAUCGUGGGGGAUAACUACGCGAAAGCGUAGCUAAUACCGCAUACGAUCUACGGAUGAAAGCAGGGGAUCGCAAGACCUUGCGCGAAUGGAGCGGCCGAUGGCAGAUAGGUUAGUUGGUGAGGUAAAGGCUCACCAAGCCUUCGAUCUGUAGCUGGUCUGAGAGGACGACCAGCCACACUGGGACUGAGACACGGCCCAGACUCCUACGGGAGGCAGCAGUGGGGAA